rnacentral:rRNA from 1 species
CAGUAGCCGCGGGAAAACGUAGGGUGCAAGCGUUAAUCGGAAUUACUGGGCGUAAAGCGUGCGCAGGCGGUUAUAUAAGUCAGAUGUGAAAUCCCCGGGCUCAACCUGGGAACUGCAUUUGAGACUGUAUGGCUAGAGUGUGUCAGAGGGGGGUAGAAUUCCACGUGUAGCAGUGAAAUGCGUAGAUAUGUGGAGGAAUUCCGAUGGCGAAGGCAGCCCCCUGGGAUAACACUGACGCUCAUGCACGAAAGCGUGGGGAGCAAACAGGAUUAGAUACCCCAGUAGUCCCUGUCUCUUAUAC